CUGCUCAGUCGGUAAGAGCAGGAGACUCUUAAUCUCAGGGUUGUGGGUCUGAGCCCCACGUUGGAGA